CAGCCUGGCCUUUUGACCCCAAGCCUGCUGCACAGAGGGCAGGGGCUGUCCCCAAGCGGUGCUUCCUGGGGCUGGGGCUGGAGGCAUGUGCCUCUCCCCAUUCCAGAAUCUGAGGUGUGAGCACCAAAGCCGGGCAGGCCAGGAGGCCGGGAAGAAGGGGCAGGUGGUGCAUGAGGGAUGGUCCAGCUCAGACCUCCGGCUUGAGGACCAGGAAACCCCGCAGGAGGAGACAGGCAUUGAAUCUGGGGUCUUCGCACUGAGCUAUAUCCAAAACUGGAACCUUCCUGCCUCAGCCUCCCAGAAAGCAACAAUUACAACUGUGCAUCACCACGCCAGGUUUGCCAAAGCUUUUCAAGCCCAAGCAUGGUGUGAUAGGGCAAGGUCUAGACCCUGCACAGACUCCUUUCACAGAAGAGCAACAGGGUACUGUGCCAGCCUCCUGGCCACACCUCUGCCGUACCCCCUCUGGGGCAUCCUCCCACGGUGACACCCACACCUACAGCCUGCGGAGGAGCUGUCCAUGCAUCUGGGACUUGCGCUCCAUGGGCAUCUCCUAUGGAGGCACCUUCCACAUCCGCCCUCUCCAUUGCUUUGUGAAAACCUCCCAACAUGGUUCUGGUGGAGGAGAGAAGCUCAGCAUAACCAACUUGAAAUCUUUGUUCAGCAGUAAGGAAACAGGGAAAAAGAGAUGCGCCUUCUGCUCGGUGGUGCCUCCCUAUUUUGGCCUGUUAUACUCACACCUGCAUUUACAAUCUCUGAUGCUAAGCGAGCAAUUCAGUGCUUCCUUUUAACAUGUAAUGUAGUUUCUCAAGCUGACAUAGCCUCUGAGGUACCGGGAGGGACGCUUGCCUCCAGGUCCCCAGGUUCUUUUCUGCAUCCCAUCUGUACGUGUAUCAGAUCACAAAUUCCAUGUUAGCCACACCCCAGCUUAUCACCUUUACUUAUGUUUUCCUCUGAUUUAGAAUGUCCAGAAUACAAACAGCCAAUCACUGGCCACUAAAGAAAUGCAAAUUAAUACGAGCCAGAAACCCCAUCUUAUCCCAGAAAGAAUGGCCAUCACCAAAAAGUCAAAUAAUAACAAAUGCUGGCGAGGCCAUGGAGGGUUGAUAAGGAAUGAUUUUACAUGCUGGUGGGAAGGUAAACUAGUACAAUUAUGGGAAUCAGUCUGGAGAAUCCUCAAAACACUGAAACUGGAGUUCCAUUUGACCCAGCUGUUCCCCUUCUAGGUAUCUUCUUUUUUUUUUAAUCUUUUUUUGGUACCAGGGAUUGAACUCAUGACCACUUGCUUGCAAGGCAAGUGCUUAUGCCACUGAGCUAAAUCCCCAGCCCCUCUAGGCAUCUUCUUGAAAGAGCUAAAGACAUCUGUCUUGGUUACUUUUCUCUCGAUGUUGAAACAAAAUACCUGACACUCAAAAUGAAGCAAGGAAAGGUUUCAGUCCAUACCCUGCUGGCCCCAAGAUGCAGUGGCAGAGCUAAGGGACAGCCAUUCAGAGCUGCUGCAAGCAACAAGAGUGAACAGAGUAAAAAGGGAAACAAUCACGAAUGCUAGAUUCAGCUGCCUCCACGAUAGCUUGAAGCUUGGGAGGGGCAUCCAAACACAAAUCAUGACAAUAUCAUAUGACAGUGAUUCAUGCACAUCCAUGUUUAUAACAGCACAACUCAUAAUGGCUAAAUCUUGGAAGCAGCAUAUAUGUCCACCAACAGAAGAAUGGAUAAAGAAAAUGUGAUAGUUACAUACAAUGGAGCACUACCUUGCCAUAAAGAAGGAUAAACUUAAGUCAUUGUAGGAAAAGAAAAUGGAAGCACUUUGAGGUCAUAAUGUGAAGUGAAAUAAAUCAGACAUACAAUCUUAAAUAUUGAAUGGUUUCCCUUACAUGAGAAACCCAAAGUAUAAACAAAGAGCAAAAUAAGAAGAUAGAUAAAAGGAAAUGGCACUAACUCCACACAAAGAAUGUAAACAAUAUAUACUACAGAUGUACACUAAUAAACCUAAAUUUAAAAAGAAUGCCCUUCCACAUUUUUUUCACUGUUGGCACCAGCCCCAAGCUGCUUGGUGCACCUCAGAAUAGCUCUGUUCAAAAGCACUAGACAUAAAGGUUCUCCAAGCUGAGAUAGGCACUGUAGGUCAUCUAGUCUAUUGCACUUACCUUACAUUUGGCAGAACCAAGGCACAGGGAAAUAACACAUCAGAUCUGGAGCCCAGGACUCCAGGCAUCGUAUGGAGCAGUCCUUUUGUUUCUUGCAACAUAUUGAGCAAUUUCGUUCAAAUACUGUUGCCCAUUUUUACAAUGGGUCUCUGAUGGUUGCAUGUCAAGGAAAUCUGUAACUGCCCCAUGACCAUGUCUGACAAUGCCACAAAAUGACAGCACUUACUUGGCACAUGUCUGAAGUGCUAUAAUGGAAUAUCCUGUGGGAUCUAAAUGCUGAAACAUUUUUCAUCUCUGCAUUGAACAACAAAGGCAGCUCCAGAAAAUGCCAGUCAGACUCACCUGCUGCAGAGAAGUGCAAAAUUAUAUGCUGAUGUAUUAACAUCUCAUAAUUCUCUGAAAUCAGUUUUUAAAUAUUUCUAAAAACCAGGGGCCUAGGGAGAUAGCUCAGCAGCACAAGCGCCUGCCUGGCAAGUGCAAACUCCUGACUUUGAUUCCUGGUACUAAUACAUACAUACACACAGACAUACCAAUACACUAUACAAAUGUAACAAUUAGAUCAGCUAAAUUUAGUAGCUGUUCAAUAAAGGUGAGUUGAAUGAAUGGA